rnacentral:rRNA from 1 species
GACGAACGCUGGCGGCGUACUUAACACAUGCCAGUCGAACGGAAAGGCCCUGCUUUUGUGGGGUGCUCGAGUGGCGAACGGGUGAGUAACACGUGAGUAACCUGCCCUUGACUUUGGGAUAACUUCAGGAAACUGGGGCUAAUACCGGAUAGGAGCUCCUGCUGCAUGGUGGGGGUUGGAAAGUUUCGGCGGUUGGGGAUGGACUCGCGGCUUAUCAGCUUGUUGGUGGGGUAGUGGCUUACCAAGGCUUUGACGGGUAGCCGGCCUGAGAGGGUGACCGGCCACAUUGGGACUGAGAUACGGCCCAGACUCCUACGGGAGGCAGCAGUGGGGAAUAUUGCACAAUGGGCGGAAGCCUGAUGCAGCAACGCCGCGUGCGGGAUGACGGCCUUCGGGUUGUAAACCGCUUUCGCCUGUGACGAAGCGUGAGUGACGGUAAUGGGUAAAGAAGCACCGGCUAACUACGUG